rnacentral:rRNA from 1 species
AUACGUAGGUGGCAAGCGUUAUCCGGAAUUAUUGGGCGUAAAGGGUGCGUAGGCGGUUGAUUAAGUUUUAGGUGAAAGCGUGGGGCUCAACUCCAUACAGCCUAAGAAACUGGUCAACUAGAGUGCAGAAGAGGGUAGUGGAAUUCCAUGUGUAGCGGUAAAAUGCGUAGAGAUUAGGAAGAACUCCGAUUGCGAAGGCAGCUUACUAAGCUGUAACUGACAUUGAGGCUCGAAAGUGUGGGUAUC